UGAGAGUCGAGGCCUGAAGAUGGUAUUGGA
rnacentral:piRNA from 1 species